CGCCGCCGCCGCCGCCAACUUGGUGGAGGCCGCGCCGCAGAGAGUGCCCGCCCUUGUCGAAGCCUCGGGGCCGGCUCCCGCCGUCUCUCGAGUGGCCAUUACCCUGUAGUUUUUCCUUGAAUACCGUCAAGCCCUUAAAGGAAGAAGGGAGAAAGAUGAUGAAGAAAAAAAGGAGGCACUGGUGACAAGUGGUGGAAUUUUGUAAAAAUUUCGCAGAGUGUGUGGAGACCACUGAGGCAUGCUGAAAAGGCUUCAUUUGCCAGCAUGCAUCAUCAUGGUGAAGCAGAACAGGCGCCCUUGUUAUUCUCCACAGGCAAGCCAUCCUGGAGAGAUACCAGCACACUUCCUCUACUGCCGGAAACCAAAGACACUGAUUGGUGAAUCCACACUAGUUCUACCGUCAUUUGAAAUGUUCUUGGAUUUUAUUUGGUUUACAAUUUGGUGAUUCAUAAAGGGAAUUAUUGAAUUAUUUGCACUGUUAAAUGAUUAUGAAAUUCUUUAUUAAUGUAGAGUCUGGUCAAGAUGUGUGAAAUAGUAUGCUUUUGUUAUGUUAGAAGAGCCAGAUAUGCAGUAGUCUCCCAAUUUGAGACCAUAGAGGCUAAGCCUCUGCCACCAGGUGCUUCAGCCCAAGUAGCUGAGCUCAUAGCCCUGACUCGAGCUUUAGAGCUGGGAAAAGAAAAAAGAAUAGCCGUUUACACUGACUCCAAGUAUGCCUUUCUGGUGCUACAUGCACAUGCAGCUAUUUGGAAAGAAAGGGGCCACUUGACCACCCGAGGGUCCCCAAUCAAAUAUGAUGAUCAAAUCCUUAGACUCUUGGAGGCAGUCCAUCUGCCCACUGAGGUUUCAGUCUCCCACUGUAAAGGACACCAAAAUGGGAGCACAGAAGUGGCACAAGGGAGACAAGCAGCUGAUCAGGCAGCUAAGAGAGCAGCAUUACAGAGCAAUGACCUAAUAGGGAUUGCCACCUUAGUUCCACAGACUGGUUUGCCAGAAACCCCUUCAUAUACUGAAGGUGAACGACUCUUAAAGCUAAGAGUGAGGGCUUUCAAGAAGAUCAUGUGGGGUGGUUCCAAAGGGAGGGACUCCUUUUUCUGCCUGGGACCCUCCAAUGGAAGUUGGUUAACUCCUUACAUGCCACCACUCAUUCAGGGGAAAAGGCCCUCCAAAGAUUACUAGAAAGUUCCUUCAGAGGAACAGGUUUCCAAACAACUAUAAGACAAGUGGUCUCCUCUUGUCCCACUUGCCAAUUAAACAACCCCCAAGGAGCUCGAAGACCCCAGCUGGCCCAGCCCGUCCAACGACAUGGGGCCUAUCCACUGGCAGAUGGACUUCACCCAGAGUCUAAGGAUUUGAUCACCAUAUUUGACUGGGGACCCUCUAGAUGUCAGGCGAGUGUAUGCACCUCGGUUUUUGUCUCCGCACAACAAGGAUUUGGAGUGACGGACAUUAAAGCCCCCCUUGGCGUGUCACAGCUGUCGGGUCUUGGACAGACCGUGUUAUAGCUCUUAGAUAAAUCAGUGUUACAGCUCUAUUUUAUUCAGAUAAUAGCAGGAAAAUCCAUCUUCGAGGCACGAGGGCAUGUCAACCCAAAGACGCAAAGAGAAGAGCACUCCAUCGCACGGGGGAGAGAGAGAGAGAGAGAAAGAGAGAGCCCUUUGGCUCCUCUUUUUAUGUUUUUUUUUCCCCUCCUGGGCCUGUCCUAUAUAAAUUGGGCCAGCCAGGAGGG